rnacentral:rRNA from 1 species
AUUGAACGCUGGCGGCAUGCUUUACACAUGCAAGUCGAACGGUAACAGGCCUUCGGGUGCUGACGAGUGGCGAACGGGUGAGUAAUGCAUCGGAACGUACCCAGAGGUGGGGGAUAACGCAGCGAAAGCGGUGCUAAUACCGCAUGUGAUCUGAGGAUGAAAGCGGGGGACCGAGCAGCAAUGUUUGGCCUCGCGCCUUUGUAGCGGCCGAUGUCGGAUUAGCUAGUUGGUGGGGUAAAGGCCUACCAAGGCGACGAUCCGUAGCUGGUCUGAGAGGACGACCAGCCACACUGGGACUGAGACACGGCCCAGACUCCUACGGGAGGCAGCAGUGGGGAAUUUUGGACAAUGGGCGCAAGCCUGAUCCAGCAAUGCCGCGUGCGGGAAGAAGGCCUUCGGGUUGUAAACCGCUUUUGGCAGGAACGAAACGGUGUCCGCUAAUACCGGGCGCUAAUGACGGUACCUGCAGAAUAAGCACCGGCUAACUACGUG